UUCGUGUGAACAGUGGUUGAUCACGAGUUAGUCGGUCCUAAGUUCAAGGCGAAAGCCGAAAAUUUUCAAGUAAUAAUAUUUUUUAAUCAUGAUAAUAUUUAUAUAUAAUAUAUAUAUUUGUUUGGCUAUAUUUUUAUACACUUGAAUAAUUUUGAACGAAAGGGAAUACGGUUCCAAUUCCGUAACCUGUUGAGUAUCCGUUUGUUAUUAAAUAUGGGCCUCGUGCUCAUCCUGGUAACAGGAACGACCAUAAAGAAGCCGUCGAGAGAUAUCGGAAGAGUUUUCUUUUCUGUUUUAUAGCCGUACUACCAUGGAAGUCUUUCGCAGAGAGAUAUGGUAGAUGGGCUAGAAGAGCAUGACAUAUACUGUUGUGUCGAUAUUUUCUCCUCGGACCUUGAAAAUUUAUGGUGGGGAUACGCAAACUUCUCAACAGGCCGUACCAAUAUCCGCAGCUGGUCUCCAAGGUGAAGAGUCUCUAGUCGAUAGAAUA
rnacentral:rRNA from 1 species